GAUUAAGUUAUUAAGGGCGCACGGUGGAUGCCUUGGCACUAGAAGCCGAUGAAGGACGUUACUAACGACGAUAUGCUUUGGGGAGCUGUAAGUAAGCUUUGAUCCAGAGAUUUCCGAAUGGGGAAACCCAGCAUGAGUUAUGUCAUGUUAUCGAUAUGUGAAUACAUAGCAUAUCAGAAGGCACACCCGGAGAACUGAAACAUCUUAGUACCCGGAGGAAGAGAAAGAAAAUUCGAUUCCCUUAGUAGCGGCGAGCGAAACGGGAAGAGCCCAAACCAACAAGCUUGCUUGUUGGGGUUGUAGGACACUCUAUACGGAGUUACAAAGGACGACAUUAGACGAAUCAUCUGGAAAGAUGAAUCAAAGAAGGUAAUAAUCCUGUAGUCGAAAAUGUUGUCUCUCUUGAGUGGAUCCUGAGUACGACGGAGCACGUGAAAUUCCGUCGGAAUCUGGGAGGACCAUCUCCUAAGGCUAAAUACUCUCUAGUGACCGAUAGUGAACCAGUACCGUGAGGGAAAGGUGAAAAGCACCCCGGAAGGGGAGUGAAAUAGAACCUGAAACCGUGUGCUUACAAGUAGUCAGAGCCCGUUAAUGGGUGAUGGCGUGCCUUUUGUAGAAUGAACCGGCGAGUUACGAUUUGAUGCAAGGUUAAGCAGUAAAUGUGGAGCCGUAGCGAAAGCGAGUCUGAAUAGGGCGUUUAGUAUUUGGUCGUAGACCCGAAACCAGGUGAUCUACCCUUGGUCAGGUUGAAGUUCAGGUAACACUGAAUGGAGGACCGAACCGACUUACGUUGAAAAGUGAGCGGAUGAACUGAGGGUAGCGGAGAAAUUCCAAUCGAACCUGGAGAUAGCUGGUUCUCUCCGAAAUAGCUUUAGGGCUAGCCUCAAGUGAUGAUUAUUGGAGGUAGAGCACUGUUUGGACGAGGGGCCCCUCUCGGGUUACCGAAUUCAGACAAACUCCGAAUGCCAAUUAAUUUAACUUGGGAGUCAGAACAUGGGUGAUAAGGUCCGUGUUCGAAAGGGAAACAGCCCAGACCACCAGCUAAGGUCCCAAAAUAUAUGUUAAGUGGAAAAGGAUGUGGCGUUGCCCAGACAACUAGGAUGUUGGCUUAGAAGCAGCCAUCAUUUAAAGAGUGCGUAAUAGCUCACUAGUCGAGUGACACUGCGCCGAAAAUGUACCGGGGCUAAACAUAUUACCGAAGCUGUGGAUUGUCCUUUGGACAAUGGUAGGAGAGCGUUCUAAGGGCGUUGAAGCAUGAUCGUAAGGACAUGUGGAGCGCUUAGAAGUGAGAAUGCCGGUGUGAGUAGCGAAAGAUGGGUGAGAAUCCCGUCCACCGAUUGACUAAGGUUUCCAGAGGAAGGCUCGUCCGCUCUGGGUUAGUCGGGUCCUAAGCUGAGGCCGACAGGCGUAGGCGAUGGAUAACAGGUUGAUAUUCCUGUACCACCUAUAAUCGUUUUAAUCGAUGGGGGGACGCAGUAGGAUAGGCGAAGCGUGCGAUUGGAUUGCACGUCUAAGCAGUAAGGCUGAGUAUUAGGCAAAUCCGGUACUCGUUAAGGCUGAGCUGUGAUGGGGAGAAGACAUUGUGUCUUCGAGUCGUUGAUUUCACACUGCCGAGAAAAGCCUCUAGAUAGAAAAUAGGUGCCCGUACCGCAAACCGACACAGGUAGUCAAGAUGAGAAUUCUAAGGUGAGCGAGCGAACUCUCGUUAAGGAACUCGGCAAAAUGACCCCGUAACUUCGGGAGAAGGGGUGCUCUUUAGGGUUAACGCCCAGAAGAGCCGCAGUGAAUAGGCCCAAGCGACUGUUUAUCAAAAACACAGGUCUCUGCUAAACCGUAAGGUGAUGUAUAGGGGCUGACGCCUGCCCGGUGCUGGAAGGUUAAGAGGAGUGGUUAGCUUCUGCGAAGCUACGAAUCGAAGCCCCAGUAAACGGCGGCCGUAACUAUAACGGUCCUAAGGUAGCGAAAUUCCUUGUCGGGUAAGUUCCGACCCGCACGAAAGGCGUAACGAUUUGGGCACUGUCUCAACGAGAGACUCGGUGAAAUCAUAGUACCUGUGAAGAUGCAGGUUACCCGCGACAGGACGGAAAGACCCCGUGGAGCUUUACUGUAGCCUGAUAUUGAAAUUCGGCACAGCUUGUACAGGAUAGGUAGGAGCCUUUGAAACGUGAGCGCUAGCUUACGUGGAGGCGCUGGUGGGAUACUACCCUAGCUGUGUUGGCUUUCUAACCCGCACCACUUAUCGUGGUGGGAGACAGUGUCAGGCGGGCAGUUUGACUGGGGCGGUCGCCUCCUAAAAGGUAACGGAGGCGCUCAAAGGUUCCCUCAGAAUGGUUGGAAAUCAUUCAUAGAGUGUAAAGGCAUAAGGGAGCUUGACUGCGAGACCUACAAGUCGAGCAGGGUCGAAAGACGGACUUAGUGAUCCGGUGGUUCCGCAUGGAAGGGCCAUCGCUCAACGGAUAAAAGCUACCCCGGGGAUAACAGGCUUAUCUCCCCCAAGAGUUCACAUCGACGGGGAGGUUUGGCACCUCGAUGUCGGCUCAUCGCAUCCUGGGGCUGUAGUCGGUCCCAAGGGUUGGGCUGUUCGCCCAUUAAAGCGGUACGCGAGCUGGGUUCAGAACGUCGUGAGACAGUUCGGUCCCUAUCCGUCGUGGGCGUAGGAAAUUUGAGAGGAGCUGUCCUUAGUACGAGAGGACCGGGAUGGACAUACCUCUGGUGUACCAGUUGUCGUGCCAACGGCAUAGCUGGGUAGCUAUGUGUGGACGGGAUAAGUGCUGAAAGCAUCUAAGCAUGAAGCCCCCCUCAAGAUGAGAUUUCCCAACUUCGGUUAUAAGAUCCCUCAAAGAUGAUGAGGUUAAUAGGUUCGAGGUGGAAGCAUGGUGACAUGUGGAGCUGACGAAUACUAAUCGAUCGAAGACUUAAUCAA
rnacentral:rRNA from 1 species